CCUACGGGAGGCUGCAGUGGGGAAUAUUGGACAAUGGGGGCAACCCUGAUCCAGCCAUGCCGCGUGUGUGAAGAAGGCCCUCGGGUUGUAAAGCACUUUCAGUGAGGAAGAACGCCUGGUGGUUAAUACCCAUCAGGAAAGACAUCACUCACAGAAGAAGCACCGGCUAACUCCGUGCCAGCAGCCGCGGUAAUACGGAGGGUGCGAGCGUUAAUCGGAAUUACUGGGCGUAAAGCGCGCGUAGGUGGCUUGAUAAGCCGGUUGUGAAAGCCCCGGGCUCAACCUGGGAACGGCAUCCGGAACUGUCAAGCUAGAGUGCAGGAGAGGAAGGUAGAAUUCCCGGUGUAGCGGUGAAAUGCGUAGAGAUCGAGAGGAAUACCAGUGGCGAAGGCGGCCUUCUGGACUGACACUGACACUGAGGUGCGAAAGCGUGGGUAGCAAACAGGAUUAGAUACCCCUGUAGUC
rnacentral:rRNA from 1 species